CGGUCACCUGGAUGUUGGUGAAGAGUGGAUGGUGGGUCUUGAUGAACAAGAUUUUAGUCCGGGUAGCUGGAUAGACAUUUAUUGACAGCCAGAAACACAAAGGAAUCUCUCUGAGAUGCUGCUAUUCUAGCGUUCAUCUCUCAGCAUGGCCCAGGCUGGUCCCAAUUGAUCCCAUUCAUCUCUGGGUGGGUUUCCUGUGCAGCUUCCUGUAACUGUGGCAAGCAACCUUAAAGCCUCCCAAAGUCCCCCUUCUGGCCUUGCCGGAGGCUCAGGGAUCCUCCCAGGAAUGUGGGGGGCAGUGCUGUCCUGCAGUUCCUAAGCACAGCUUCAGUCUUCUGCUGGAGUCUGGUUACAGGUGGGUCAAUGUUCUUCACUUUCUGUCCUGCUCAGAUCAGGAAACCCUCCCCGGCUCACCGCCAGGCUGUCUCCUGAAGUCUCCUAUAGAUACGGUCCUCCAGGAGGGCUGGGGGCCCAGGCCUGAGUCCCACCGAGGGUUCCAGUUUCUUGUGGAUGCCAAGGGCUCCUCUUCCCUGAAAGUCUCUGCUGCUGCCUCCUGCGCUGUGUGGAAAACGCGUGAACACAAUGCUGAGAGAGCUCUUGGCUUUCUCCGGGGCACAUUUCAUUCCAGAUCUGUGCUUUUCCUUUCCCAGUUGCUCAGAGAAAUGGACACUUGGAGCCCUGGACCUCGGGCUGUCCACACCGGGAACAGAGGCAGCAGGAGCUAAAACCAAAGGUCCCUCUGGAUUGUUGCAGAGUCCCCUCUGGCCAGUCUAAAUAUGUCAGCUGAUGUGGGUCAAUCGGUUCCUCUUCUCCCUCUGCAAAGGUGUGCCCACCCAGACAUCAGAAUCUGAGCUUAUUUGGAAUAAGGAUCUUUGCAGACAUAAUUAAGGUAAG
rnacentral:lncRNA from 10 species